AUUCCAGCUCCAAUAUCGUAUAUUUAAGUUGUUGCAGUUAAAAAGCUCAUAGUUGGAUCUUGGGUCGUAAGGGUUGGUCCGCCUACUCGGUGUGCACCUGCCCUUCUGUCCCUUUUGUCAGCGGUGUAUUCCUGGCCUUAAUUGGCUGGGUCGCGGUUCUGAUGCUAUUAUUUUGAAAAAAUUAUAGUGCUCAAAGCAAGCUUAUGCUCUGAAUAUAUUAGCAUGGAAUAACGUGAUAGGAGUCUGGUCCUAUUGUGUUAGCCUUCGGGACCGGAGUAAUGAUUAAUAAGGACUGUCGGGGGCAUUCGUAUUUCAUUGUCAGAGGUGAAAUUCUUGGAUUUAUGAAAGACGGACCACUGCGAAGUAAUUUGCCAAGGAUGUUUUCAUCA
rnacentral:rRNA from 1 species